AUAUUGUUUUGAGUGGUAUUUGGAUGCCUGCAAGCAUUUUUCGACGCCUACAAUAACCAUUUCUAACCUUCACUUGUAAUUGAUUUGCUCUUUGUCCAAGAAGCAAUUAAAUACACUCCCUUCGGGGACAUCCACAAGUUCUCUUCUUCCAAGGUGAACUAUGAUAGUUCAGUAGCUAGUCAACUAGAUGGCUCUAUGUGCAGGUGAUCUUCUAAGUGACAUCUAGAACUACAUCAGAUGUGUGUCAUUCAGAAUUAGUUGUUUCUUCACAAAUCUGAAUCAGCAAGAAGAUUAUACUGCAAAUCAUUAUUGCAAGUCGACGACUAAGUGUAGCCUUAAAAAAUGUGUAAGCUGUGGGAAUUUUUUUACAUAUUCUCACACCUGCAAUUUUUUUUUACUGGUCAAACUGUUAAGCGGCUUGUUAUAUUUUCCAGAACAGAAUGCUUUCUCAGCUACAUCAUGGUCUAUAUUCAUGUACCAGGUUUUCAGACAAUUGCUAUUUUCAUGCAGACUGGAGCUCCGAAAAAAACACUACCAACGGUCAAAGCAAUAUCAGAAGUUGUGAAAGAUUUACCCCACAAGGCUUUAUCCCAUUGCUCUAUCUAACUUCACUGAAGAACUGAAUUGAGAAGUUAGACAUGAAUGACUGAAAAAGGACUUGACAAUGAGAAUAAGCAACAAAGAAACUUCUGAUAACACUAUAGUUCAACUGAGUCAUUGACAGCAUGAUCUUAUUCAUGACAAAGAUUUACAUGGUACGUGCAAAGAAAGGCUGUACGAGAGACCUGAUUGGUGAAUACAUCGUAUGAUUAUGUAUUUAUUGCUUUUUGAAGUACAUGAUGCUUAUGUUGCAAAUUUUAUUUUCUACAGCUGGGAAGCAAAUGUAAUGCACCAAAGUUAGUUUUUGUUGUUCUGUGUACUAUGGUUAAUUUCUUGUACUCCAUGUUGGAUUAUCCAAAGACUAGUAAUUUGUUUUUUGGCACAUUUGUGUUGACUCUUCUUGUAUGCUACAACUUGGUUAUGUAUCAGUUUGAACCUUUAAAUGAAAUAUUUGCUUUUAUGGUUGUCACAA